GCCUUCAUGGUGUAAUGGUCAGCACACUGAGCCGGUAUUUCAGAGGUCCGCGGUUCGAUUCCCGGCGAAGGCA
rnacentral:tRNA from 1 species